GAUGAACGCUGGCGGCGUGCUUAACACAUGCAAGUCGAACGGAAAGGCCCAAGCUUGCUUGGGUUCUCGAGUGGCGAACGGGUGAGUAACACGUGGGUGAUCUGCCCUGCACUUCGGGAUAAGCCUGGGAAACUGGGUCUAAUACCGGAGAGGACCACUUGUUGGAUGUUGUGGUGGAAAGUUUUCUCGGUGUGGGAUGAAGUCGCGGCCUAUCAGCUUGUUGGUGGGGUAAUGGCCUACCAAGGCGUCGCCGGGUAGCCGGCCUGAGAGGGUGGACGGCCACAUUGGGACUGAGCUACGGCCCAGACUCCGACGGGAGGCAGCAGGGGGGAAAAUUGCACAAUGCGCGGAAGCGUGAUGCAGGGAGGCCGCGUGAGGGAUGACGGCCUUCAGGUUGUAAACACCUUUCGCUAGGGACGAAGCGUUUUUGUGACGGUACCUGGAGAAGAAGCACCGGCUAACUACGUG
rnacentral:rRNA from 1 species